GUGAGGAAUAUUGCGCAAUGGAGGCAACUCUGACGCAGCCAUGCCGCGUGCAGGAAGAAGGCGCUACGCGUUGUAAACUGCUUUUAACCGGGAAGAAACCCCAGGACGUGUCCUGGGUUGACGGUACCGGAGGAAUAAGCACCGGCUAACUUCGUGCCAGCAGCCGCGGUAAUACGAAGGGUGCAAGCGUUAUCCGGAUUCAUUGGGUUUAAAGGGUGCGUAGGCGGAGCGUUAAGUCAGUGGCGAAAUCCUGCAGCUUAACUGUAGACUUGCCAUUGAUACUGGCGCUCUUGAGUGCGCUUGAAGUGGGCGGAAUGUGCCGUGUAGCGGUGAAAUGCUUAGAUAUGGCACAGAACACCAAUUGCGAAGGCAGCUCACUAAGGCGAUACUGACGCUGAGGCACGAAAGCGUGGGGAUCGAACAGGAUUAGAAACCCCAGUAGUCC
rnacentral:rRNA from 1 species